rnacentral:rRNA from 1 species
CAGAACGAACGCUGGCGGCGUGCUUAACACAUGCAAGUCGAACGCGAAAGGGACUUCGGUCCUGAGUAAAGUGGCGCACGGGUGAGUAACGCGUAGAUAACCUGUCUUCAUGUCUGGAAUAAUACGCCGAAAGGGGUACUAAUACCGGAUAUUCUUGCUUUUCAUAAGUUAUGCAAGCAAAGGUGGCCUCUGCAUAUGCUACUGCAUGAAGUAGGGGUCUGCGUACCAUUAGCUAGUAGGUGGGGUAAUGGCCUACCUAGGCGACGAUGGUUAGCGGGUCUGAGAGGAUGAUCCGCCACACUGGCACUGGAACACGGGCCAGACUCCUACGGGAGGCAGCAGUGAGGAAUAUUGCGCAAUGGGGGAAACCCUGACGCAGCGACGCCGCGUGAGUGAGGAAAGGCCUUCGGGUCGUAAAGCUCUGUCAAGAGGAAAGAAGUGUACAAUGGCUAAUACCUGUUGUAUUUGACGGUACCUCUAAAGGAAGCACCGGCUAACUCCGUGCCAGCAGCUGC